rnacentral:rRNA from 1 species
GAUGAACGCUGGCGGCGUGCCUAAUACAUGCAAGUCGAGCGAACAGACGAGGAGCUUGCUCCUCUGACGUUAGCGGCGGACGGGUGAGUAACACGUGGAUAACCUACCUAUAAGACUGGGAUAACUUCGGGAAACCGGAGCUAAUACCGGAUAAUAUAUUGAACCGCAUGGUUCAAUAGUGAAAGACGGUUUUGCUGUCACUUAUAGAUGUAUCCGCGCCGCAUUAGCUAGUUGGUAAGGUAACGGCUUACCAAGGCAACGAUGCGUAGCCGACCUGAGAGGGUGACCGGCCACACUGGAACUGAGACACGGUCCAGACUCCUACGGGAGGCAGCAGUAGGGAAUCUUCCGCAAUGGGCGAAAGCCUGACGGAGCAACGCCGCGUGAGUGAUGAAGGUCUUCGGAUCGUAAAACUCUGUUAUUAGGGAAGAACAAAUGUGUAAGUAACUAUGCACGUCUUGACGGUACCUAAUCAGAAAGCCACGGCUAACUACGUG